rnacentral:misc_RNA from 1 species
UUGCGGCUGGAUCACCUCCUUUUGAGCAUGGGACGCAUUCCGCGUCACAGGCGUCCUCACAAGUUUCCUGCAUUCCAUCCUUUUGCAGCUGGGUCUGUAGCUCAGGUGGUUAGAGCGCACCCCUGAUAAGGGUGAGGUCGGAGGUUCGAGUCCUCCCAGACCCACCACCUUUACAUGGGGCCAUAGCUCAGCUGGGAGAGCACCUGCUUUGCAAGCAGGGGGUCGUCGGUUCGAUCCCGACUGGCUCCACCACUCCCGAUGGAAUGAUAGGCGCACACGAUUUUGAUCUGGUCCAAGCGUUGCAGCUUGGAUCUGUUCUUUGAGAAUGUGGAUGUAGCGAGCGUUUUAAACGAAUUUAUUUUUGUCGAAAUGUGUCGUG